rnacentral:rRNA from 1 species
AUUGAACGCUGGCGGCAUGCUUUACACAUGCAAGUCGAACGGUAACAGGCCGCAAGGUGCUGACGAGUGGCGAACGGGUGAGUAAUGCAUCGGAACGUGCCCAGUCGUGGGGGUAAACAACUGGAAGGGUAACUUAAUACCGCAUACGAUCUAGGGAGAAAACCGGGGGACGGAAAGCCUUGCCGCAUUUGAAGCGGCCGAUGUAGGAUUAGGUAGUUGGUGGGGUAAAGGCUCACCAAGCAAACGAUCUGUAGCUGGUCUGAGAGGACGACCAGCCACACUGGGACUGAGACACGGCCCAGACUCCUACGGGAGGCAGCAGUGGGGAAUUUUGGACAAUGGGCGCAAGCCUGAUCCAGCAACGCCGCGUGCAGGAAGAAGGCCUUCGGGUUGUAAACUGCUUUUGUACGGAACGAAACGGCUCUGGUUAAUACCCGGGGCUAAUGACGGUACCGUAAGAAUAAGCACCGGCUAACUACGUG